AUGAUGAGCAGCAGGCUAAGCGGCGGCACGAUGGCACCGGUUAGCGACAUGGCCGACUUCGGUUGCGCUCCCAUGCAGUCCUACCCCAACUUUGAGCCGGCCGGCAUGGUCAUGCCCGGGGACCGGCAGCCGCCCUUCCAGCACCACCACCUCUACGACAGCCUCGACUUCAACGCCGCUGCAUUCUCGUUCCAAGACCCGGUCGCGCUCUUCUCCAGCGGCUCGGCGUUCAGUAACCAGCUCCAGCAGCCGUUCCUCCAGACGCAGGUCACCACGCCGACGAUGGCGUCGUCGUCGCUGCUGCAGGCGCCGAUGAUGACCCUUCCGGGUAUGCUGACGUCUUCCUCGGCGUCGCCGGUGGACGCAUGCACCUUCGGUGGCGGCGGCAGUGCUGGGUUCCUGAAGCAGGAGGAGGGCGGCCCCUUCUCAGACGUCGGCGGUGGGGGGAGGAUCGGGCUGAACCUCGGCCGCAGGACAUACUUUUCCCCGGCGGACGUGCUGGCCGUGGACCGCCUGCUGAUGCGCUCCCGCUUCGGCGGAGCCGGCGCAAUGGGCAUGCUGGGGCUGGGGCUCGGCGCCGCCGCCCACCACCACCAGACCCCGCGGUGCCAGGCUGAGGGCUGCAAGGCCGACCUCUCCGCCGCCAAGCACUACCACCGCCGCCACAAGGUCUGCGAGUACCACGCCAAGGCCACCACAGUCGCCGCCUCUGGCAAGCAGCAGCGCUUCUGCCAACAAUGCAGCCGGUUUCAUGUGCUCGCUGAGUUUGACGAGGCCAAGAGGAGCUGCCGGAAGCGGCUCACGGAGCACAACCGGCGCCGCCGAAAGCCUGCCGGCGCGCAGGGCAAGGAUUCGCCGCCGCCUUCCAAGAAGGCAGACGCUAGCAUCACCAGCUCAUACACCGGCGAUCACAAGACCAACAAGUCGACGACGGGGGCGGCCUUCUCGCCGAGCGCCGGUGGCUUCAGCUGCCUUCAGCAGCAGCAGCAGCAGCAUGAGAUCGACAACGGCGGCCAGUCGAGCAACGCCACGCCGACUAACCUGUCCCUGGCGGCGCCACCGCCACCGCCGCCGCCUCAAGACGACGCCGGCUUCGGCGCCGGCCUUGACACCAUGCUGCUGAUUCAGCAGCAAGGGCCCGAUGAACAGGAGGAGGAGGAGGAGCAGCAUUUCAUGAUGACCUCUCUCGUGCAGUCGCAUCGCCAGCAGCAGCAGCACGGCGACAGCGGCAACAUCUUAUCGUGCUCGACGACGUCGCCGUCGGAUCAGCGUCGCCAUCAGAACGACGGCGACAGCUGCUGCAACGGCAACAGCAUGCAGCAUUUCUUUGAGGUGGAGUUCAUGUAG
rnacentral:rRNA from 1 species